rnacentral:rRNA from 1 species
CUACGGAGGGGGCUAGGCGUUGUUCGGAAUUACUGGGCGUAAAGCGCAACGUAGGCGGCUUUGUAAGUUAGAGGUGAAAGCCCGGGGCUCAACUCCGGAACUGCCUUUAAGACUGCAUCGCUUGAAUCCAGGAGAGGUGAGUGGAAUUCCUGGUGUAGCGGUGAAAUGCGCAGAUAUCAGGAGGAACACCAACGGCGAAGGCAGCACUCUGGGCCGGUACUGACGCUGAGGAGCGAAAGCGUGGGGAGCAAACAGG